AACGAACGCUGGCGGCGUGCCUAAUACAUGCAAGUCGAGCGAGAAAAGGGGGGCAACUCCCUGAGUACAGCGGCGCACGGGUGAGUAACACGUAGGUAACCUAUCCUCGAGCUCGGGAUAACCUACCGAAAGGUGGGCUAAUACCGGAUAUGACCACGGGAGUCUCGGCUCCUGCGGUGAAAGAUGGCCUCUGCUUGCAAGCUAUUACUCGAAGAGGGGCCUGCGCGCCAUUAGCUAGUUGGCGGGGUAACGGCCCACCAAGGCUAUGAUGGCUAGCUGGUCUGAGAGGAUGGCCAGCCACACUGGGACUGAAACACGGCCCAGACUCCUACGGGAGGCUG
rnacentral:rRNA from 1 species